rnacentral:rRNA from 1 species
UACGAAGGGGGCUAGCGUUGUUCGGAAUUCUGGGCGUAAAGCGUGCGCAGGCGGCUUCUCAAGUCAGGGGUGAAAGCCCAGAGCUCAACUCUGGAUUGCCUUUGAGACUGAGUGCUUGAGUACGAGAGAGGUGAGUGGAAUUCCCAGUGUAGAGGUGAAAUUCGUAGAUAUUGGGAAGAACACCGGUGGCGAAGGCGGCCUCACUGGCUCGUAACUGACGCUCAUGCACGACAGCGUGGGGAUCAA